rnacentral:lncRNA from 1 species
AGUGCAAGUGAAAAGUGGGAGAUGUGUCCAAGUGGGAGUAGUGGUGUGUUUGUGGACACAUCUUCAAUUUCAGCAAACAAAGAAGAAGAUGAAGAAGAGCAUUCUCAAAGUGAAGAUGGAAAUGAAGAUAUCAUUGAAGAAGAGUCCAACUCUAUAAAGACUUCAAUUCCAGCAAGAUACAACAAGGACAAUGAAGAGAAUGAAGAUGAAGAAUAUCAACCAAUGA